AAAUCAACCCCGGCGGUUGCCGUUUUGUUUGAUCACAAAGCGGAGGAAAGUCCGAGCUCCAGAGAAUAGCGCGUCCCGGUAACGCGGGAACCGUAUUAUUACGGUGAUUAGAGCCACAGAGACGAGAAAAGUGAAACGGGUAAUCUCCGCGCGGAGAAAGGCCAAAUAGGGGAAGAAGGGCAAAUGUCCUACGGGUUGUAUUCGGCCCGUCAUAUUUCCGGGUAGGCCGCAAGAGUUGAGAGAGCAAUCUCUCAAGUGAGUGGAAUAGCCGCCCUCGACUUUGUCGGGAACAGAACUCGGCUUACGGGGUGUUUUUCGG
rnacentral:RNase_P_RNA from 1 species